rnacentral:snRNA from 1 species
GCAGUCACUUCAUCAGCACACACACAAAAUAGAAUGAUAGAGAGAUUAGCAUGUUUCCUGUGCAAGGAAGACACUCAAAUUCAUGAAGAAUUCCAUACUUAA